CAGUAGCCACGGUAAUACGUAGGGUGCAAGCGUUAAUCGGAAUUACUGGGCGUAAAGCGUGCGCAGGCGGUUAUAUAAGACAGAUGUGAAAUCCCCGGGCUCAACCUGGGAAUGGCAGUGGAUACUGGCAAGCUAGAGUGUGUCAGAGGAUGGUGGAAUUCCCGGUGUAGCGGUGAAAUGCGUAGAGAUCGGGAGGAACAUCAGUGGCGAAGGCGGCCAUCUGGGACAACACUGACGCUGAGGCACGAAAGCGUGGGGAGCAAACAGGAUUAGAGACCCGGGUAGUCCCUGUCUCUUAUAC
rnacentral:rRNA from 1 species